GGAGAGGUGCGUGAGUGGCCGAAGCGGCGCGCCUGGAAAGCGCGUAACCCGCAAGGGUUCGAGAGUUCGAAUCUCUCCCUCUCCG
rnacentral:tRNA from 1 species